rnacentral:lncRNA from 1 species
UGUGAGGUGACAUGCAGAGUGCAAAAUAAAGUUGACCAUGACUAAAUAUUGGAUUAGAUAAAUAUAAUCUAACUUUAUUUAAUGUUUGAUCUUGACUUUUGUUAAUGAUCAUGGCAUAGCAAAGCUUAAUCAAAAAUUAUCUCUUUUUAAAAAUAAAUGACCAUUUUGUUUCCUUUACUUGCAUUAUAAUGCGAGGAAUAUAAAUUCUGACACCGAUGUUAGCACCCAUAAUAAUCUCAGCUUUAAUAACUUUUGUGGUAAGAUUUGUCAUUAUUAAUUUGGUACUAUAACAGAGACCUAUACU